CGGCUCAGUAACACGUGGAUAACCUACCCUCAGAUCUGGGAUAACUCCGGGAAACUGGAGAUAAUACCGGAUAAUCCGUGAACGCUGGAAUGCCUUACGGUUGAAAGCUUUAGCGUCUGAGGAUGGGUCCGCGGCCGAUUAGGUAGUUGCUGGGGUAACGUCCCAACAAGCCGAUAAUCGGUACGGGUUGUGAGAGCAAGAGCCCGGAGAUGGAUUCUGAGACACGAAUCCAGGUCCUACGGGGCGCAGCAGGCGCGAAAACUUUACACUGCGCGAAAGCGCGAUAAGGGGACCUCGAGUGCGUGCGCAAAGCGUACGCUUUUCAGAUGCCUAAAAAGCAUCUGGAAUAAGGGCCGGGCAAGACCGGUGCCAGCCGCCGCGGUAACACCGGCGGCUCAAGUGGUGGCCGCUAUUAUUGGGCUUAAAGGGUCCGUAGCCGGACCAGUUAGUCCCUUGGGAAAUCUUACGGCUUAACCGUAAGGCUGCCAAUGGAUACUGCUGGUCUUGGGACCGGGAGAGGCAAGAGGUACCUCAGGGGUAGGAGUGAAAUCCUGUAAUCCUUGAGGGACCGCCAGUGGCGAAGGCGUCUUGCUAGAACGGGUCCGACGGUGAGGGACGAAAGCUAGGGGCACGAACCGGAUUAGAUACCCGGGUAGUCCUAGCCGU
rnacentral:rRNA from 1 species